rnacentral:rRNA from 1 species
UACGUAGGGUGCGAGCGUUAAUCGGAAUUACUGGGCGUAAAGCGUGCGCAGGCGGUCUUGUAAGCCAGAUGUGAAAUCCCCGGGCUUAACCUGGGAACUGCAUUUGGGACUGCAAGGCUGGAGUACGGCAGAGGGAGGUGGAAUUCCACGUGUAGCGGUGAAAUGCGUAGAGAUGUGGAGGAACACCAGUGGCGAAGGCGACUUUCUGGUCUGUAACUGACGCUGAGGCGCGAAAGCGUGGGGAGCAAACAGG